GCUACGGGUGGCAGCAGUGAGGAAUAUUGGUCAAUGGGCGCGAGCCUGAACCAGCCAAGUAGCGUGAAGGAUGACUGCCCUACGGGUUGUAAACUUCUUUUAUAAAGGAAUAAAGUGAGGCACGUGUGCCUUUUUGUAUGUACUUUAUGAAUAAGGAUCGGCUAACUCCGUGCCAGCAGCCGCGGUAAUACGGAGGAUCCGAGCGUUAUCCGGAUUUAUGGGGGUGAAAGGGAGCGUAGAGGGGUUGUUAAGUCAGUUGUGAAAGUUUGCGGCUCAACCGUAAAAUUGCAUUUGAUACUGGCAGCCUUGCGUACAGUUGCGGUCGGCUGCCUUCGUGGUGUAGCGGUGCACUGCUUAGCUAUCAC
rnacentral:rRNA from 1 species